UACAGUUUGAUCCUGGCUCAGAUUGAACGCUGGCGGCAUGCCUAACACAUGCAAGUCGAGCGGCAGCAUGACGUGUAGCAAUACACGUUGAUGGCGAGCGGCGGACGGGUGAGUAAUGCAUAGGAAUCUGCCCAGUAGCGGGGGACAACCCGGAGAAAUCCGGGCUAAUACCGCAUACGCCCUACGGGGGAAAGCGGAGGACCGAAAGGCUUCGCACUAUUGGAGGAACCUAUGUCCGAUUAGCUAGUUGGUGAGGUAACGGCUCACCAAGGCGACGAUCGGUAGCUGGUCUGAGAGGACGAUCAGCCACACCGGAACUGAGACACGGUCCGGACUCCUACGGGAGGCAGCAGUGGGGAAUAUUGGACAAUGGGGGCAACCCUGAUCCAGCAAUGCCGCGUGGGUGAAGAAGGCCUGCGGGUUGUAAAGCCCUUCCGGUGAGGACAAAACGCGCCACGUUAAUACCGUGGUGUUUUGAUUUAACUCACUAAAGAAGCACCGGCUAACUCUGUGCCAGCAGCCGCGGUAAUACAGAGGGUGCAAGCGUUAAUCGGAAUUACUGGGCGUAAAGCGCACGUAGGCGGCUUGGUAAGUUGGAUGUGAAAUCCCCGGGCUUAACUUGGGAAUUGCAUUCAAGACUGCCUUGCUAGAGUGUGGGAGAGGAAAGCGGAAUUCCAGGUGUAGCGGUGAAAUGCGUAGAUAUCUGGAGGAACAUCAGUGGCGAAGGCGGCUUUCUGGCCCAACACUGACGCUGAGGUGCGAAAGCGUGGGGAG
rnacentral:rRNA from 1 species